UACGGAGGGUGCAAGCGUUGUCCGGAUUUAUUGGGUUUAAAGGGUGCGUAGGUGGCCUGUUAAGUCAGUGGUGAAAUACAGCCGCUCAACGGUUGAGGUGCCAUUGAUACUGAUAGGCUUGAAGUGGGUAGAGGCUGCCGGAAUGGAUGGUGUAGCGGUGAAAUGCAUAGAUAUCAUCCAGAACACCGAUUGCGAAGGCAGGUGGCUAUGUCCAACUUGACACUGAGGCACGAAAGCAUGGGGAGCAAACAGG
rnacentral:misc_RNA from 1 species